UCCGAGUUGACCCCGGCAGUCUCCCACGAGUCCCCGGCAUAACCCGCUGGCAACAUGGGAUAAGGGUUGCGCUCGUUGCGGGACCUAACCCAACAUCUCACGACACGAGCUGACGACAGCCAUGCACCACCUGCGCAGGACCCUUGCGGACCUCACACCUCUGUGAGAUUUCCCUGCAUGUCAAGCCUUGGUAAGGUUCUUCGCGUUGCAUCGAAUUAAUCCGCAUGCUCCGCCGCUUGUGCGGGGCCCCGUCAAUUCCUUUGAGUUUUAGCCUUGCGGCCGUACUCCCCAGGCGGGGCGCUUAAUGCGUUAGCGUCGGCACGGGAGGAGUCGACACCUCCCACACCUAGUGCCCAUCGUUUACGGCGUGGACUAC
rnacentral:misc_RNA from 1 species